rnacentral:lncRNA from 1 species
GCGUCAUCCAGUUGUGACUAAUGGUCAUGAGUCGUCAAGGAGCACCAUUCCGGUUCACGCCCGUCUUCCAUUUAGACUUUGAAGGCAGAAGUGGAGUUCAGCAUGAGGUACUCCAUGGCAUCAGCAGACUGGCCUCACCGUGGCCCUACCCAAGCAUUGCUACACUCAUGAUGGCCAAGGACCCCGCACAUCUGUUGUGGUUUGCGUGUGGCUUGGAUGUGUGUCCCUGAAUGAUGCAUGCCUUGAAGUUUGAUCUCUGUUGUGAGGAGCCUUGUGAAGGGAAGACAACGAUUCAGUGGACAUUUUUGCUUGUUAGUUUGUGGUGGUUGUUGUACAAAAACCAAAGCAAAACAAAGAAAAAAUAAUCUCUAAACUGAAAA